rnacentral:misc_RNA from 1 species
ACAUUUCUUGUACAUAUACACAGCUUCAUCUUGAUAAGUUAUAAUUCACUUCAAAACGGAUCUUAUCCGACGCGUGACCCUUGACUUCCGUAAGCACUUUUUGAACAAUCAAUUAAGUUUUCAUUUUCAUUGUCGAUUUUAUCAGCACAGCAUUAUGGAAAAUAUUCAAUAUGUUAGACUUUUAAUUUUCAUAUUUUGGAUACCGAGAAUCGCUUGCCGUUGUCCAGAUACAGUGCAUCCUGGAAUCAAGGGUUUCGGAUCAGACUGUAAAUACAGAUGUAACUGUAAGGACAAUGUACAGUGUGACGUAGUAACGGGCGAGUGUCCUGAUGGUUGUUUGUUUGGAUGGAUGGGACCAGGAUGCCAAUACCGAAAUGCGGCUUCCGCAUUCCGUAAUGCUGGACAGCAUUAUUCAGCACCAGAACGAACGGAAUGGGCAAAACAAGCUGUAGAUGGAAAUGUGAGCACAUGUAGCAAAACAGGGCCUGAACCUAAAGGAUCUGGAGACUCGACACAACAGUGGUGGCAAUUUCAGUUGUCGUCUGAAUUUUAUAUAGUUGGAUUAGUUAUUAAGAUUCCAAAGUCGGAUACAGCUAAGUUUAAAGGCUAUUCUGUUGAAAUUGGAAAAACGAACUAUAACUAUGACAUGUGCUACAAACAUGAACCUAACGCCGAGGGGGAAACUGUCAUGGAAGUAAAUUGUAUCAGGCCAGUAGUUGGAAAGUUCGUUAAAAUUAAACUUGCAGAGAAUGAGCCGCCGUCUUUAAUUCUAUGUGAAGUAGAAAUAUUUGAAGGGCGUCUGGUUUCUUUCAACAAACAAACGUCCAUGCAAUCUGAGCUAUACUGGAGUGGAUUUCGUUGGAAGUCGUCACAUGCAGUAGAUGGCAGUCAUAUAGCGCCCCCUGGUGAAAAACAAGACGUAACCUGUGCGGCAACGAUAGAUGAAUCGCCGAGAACUCUGAAAUUAUGGUGGACUGUUACCUUAGACACUGUCUUUGAUAUACAGGGAAUUAAUUUCUUCGGACGUUUAAAUAAUAUCGGCCAGUCUAAUACAUACAGUAUAAAAGUGGGUGAUUCUAACUCGCAAACCCUUUUAGUAUUUACGGACAAUAACCCGAGUACUUCAGAUGAUGCAUAUAACCCUAAGUCAACAAAUUUUACUGCCCCUGUUCCUGGAAGCGUUGUUCGGGUUGAAAGAUCAGCAAGUAUUCUCGUUAUUUGUGAAUUCGAAGUGUUUGCAGAAUGUCCUCUUGGAAGAUGUGGUUGGGAAUGUAAUGAAGUCUGUAUGUGUAGCAGUCAGACAACUGGGCAACACAAGAUUCGGGGCACAUGUCCUCAUGGAUGUAGCGGAAGAUGGAGUGGCGGCAACGGAAAGUGCAACAUUGAAUGCCCUGAUACAAAAUGGGGACCUUUUUGUAAUAGCACAUGUGGCAAAUGUAAGAAUAAUGACUCUUGUAGUGUAUCUGAAGGCUUCUGUCCUAAUUCGUGUAAGCCUGGAUGGAUUCCACCCUUAUGUGUACAGGAAUGCAAUGAUUGGCAUUUUGGUCAAGAUUGUAAUUAUACAUGUGGAUAUUGCAAGGAUGAGCUUGUAUGCAGCAAAGAAACUGGCGAAUGCGCGACUGGAUGCAUGCCAGGAUAUAGACCUCCAUUAUGCAUUGAAAAAUGCGAUCCCGGAUGGUACGGAGAUGGCUGUCGCAAGGUUUGUGGUAAAUGUCGCAAUGGAGGAAUAUGUGAGCAUGUGACUGGAAAUUGCCCGGAUGGAUGUGAGGCAGGGUAUCAAGGACAGAACUGUAUACAGCCAUGUGAUCCAGGAUGGCACGGUAUGAACUGUUCUACACAAUGUGGAAGCUGUAAGAAUGGCGAGGCUUGUAACAAUACGAAUGGUGAUUGUAGCGGCGGAUGUAGUCCAGGAUGGCUAACGUCAAUGUGCAAUAUAUCAUGUGGUAGUGGGUUUUAUGGCGACGGAUGUAACGAAACGUGUGGAUAUUGCUUGGCUGGUGAGAUUUGCAGUCACGAGGACGGAUCGUGUUUAAAUGGCUGUGCCUCCGGUUACCACGGAACGGUGUGCAAAACAGAAUGCGAUGAAGGGAUGUACGGUGCAAAUUGUGUCUCAAAAUGUGGCAGCUGUGCUGGAAAUGAACAUUGUAACAGAACAACUGGAGCUUGUUCUCAUGGAUGCAUACCUGAUUACAAAGGCAUACGCUGUGAUGUUAGAGCAACAGAAGGAGAAUGGAGAACGGAUCUUCUACGGGACCUAUUGUUGGUGCGAUAAUAGGAGUGUUAGUGUUGGCGAUUGUUGGAGCGUUUAUAGGAUUCAUUGUCAGGAGAAAAUUAAUGGGGAUGAAAGAAAAUCAGCCGCAAAUGGGUCUCCAAAGAUCUCAGAUCAAAUCAUAAAUGGACCUGCAAAGAAUACAAAUGCGGUUCCAAAACCAGAUCUAGAUCCAGUAUAUUGUAACACUGA